UUGCGUACAUAUAGCCAGUCUUGUCAUGUGGUUUUCUUCCUGCGGUUUGUUGUGGGUCCUCUAUGCAUUUCUCACUUCCCUCGUUGUGAUCGUUCUUCACGCGAGUGUGAGAACUCCAAACCUCAAAGCACGCUUGAACACAUUCCGCGAAGAAUUUCGAGCUGUCUGGCGUAACUACAGUGAAAUUUGAAGGACUGCUACAAUCUAGGAGCAAACGGAGGCUGUUAAUCUGAAGUGAACAUUCCUUUGUUAUGUCAGAUGAUGGCAUAUACGGCUCUCAGUUUCAUGGUUAAGAUGGGUAAUAGGCUGUUCAGCCGCACUUGAAAUACUGACAUACUUGACCAAGUUACUUCUAAUUGGUGUAGUGAUGUUUAUACUUUUCAAACUAUUUUAGUGAUUUGACUUCACAAUACGGAUUUUUUUAA